rnacentral:lncRNA from 10 species
UGGGAUUAUAGGCAUGAGCCACCACACAUCAUGUGAAAUCUCACACACACACAUCUGACUUGUUCACAUAAGCACACGUCACACACACACACACACACACACACACACACACAGGCGCACAGCGUCCUCAUCCAGAAACAAUUUCCUCAGUAUUUAUUAACACAAACUAGACAAAUGGUAGAAAAGCGAACAUCUUAUUACACAAUUUUUUCUAAUAGGAGAAUGUCCUGCCCUUGAGGAACCAUGAGCCCUUGAGAAUGUCAGAUGGUAAAUAAAUCAAUAAUUCGAACACAACGUGAAAAGAGUUAGAACAGGGGCAUACAAAGGAAUGCAAUGGGAAGAAUGACAGGUUGGUUUGUUUGUUUCAUAUCCACUGAUAUAUUUUGGUUUGUAUAAUAAGGAAUCCUCUUUUCAGGUUUUACAACCUUGAUUUGACAUUUUUCAGCACAGCAUAAAAAGAGAGAUUGCUUAUACAUGUGAAAUUGCCACUAGAAGAAAAACGGAAGUAUUUGUCUCCAUCAGGGUGGUACUUGAACAUAAACAACAUUAUAGGUUGUACAUAAUUUAAAUGAAAAUGCUGUGUGUUGCAUAAAUACAGGAAAAUACUCAGAUCGGUACUUAAGUUCAUACUGGGUCAUCAGAAUGCAUUACAAUUUUGUAAAGAUAUGACACUGAAUGACAUUUUCUUUCUUUUUUUGAGACAGGGUCUUGCUCUGUUGUCCAGGCUGGAGUACAGUGGUGCGAUCACAGCUCACUGCAGCCUCAAACUCCUGGCCUCAAGCAAUCUUCCUGCCUCAGCCUCCUGAGUAGCUGGGACCACAGGUACACACCACCAAGCCCAGC